UGCUUAUGUUCUCUUGGUGACAUCUCGCUUCCGUGAGAGUUCGAUCCGCCGCCUUGAGAAUCACCACCAGAAAUGUUGUCGGAGUCUAUCAUCGUUGAAUUUCCGACGGUUCACCUGAAGAUUGGAGUUGGAUUGUGAUAAUUUGAUAAAAAUUAAUUUUGAAUUUGAGAAUUGGUUUUUGGUGAUAGAGAGUCAGGUUCUGCGUGAAAAUGAAUUCGGCGUAUUGUGA
rnacentral:lncRNA from 1 species